rnacentral:rRNA from 1 species
GACGAACGCUGGCGGCGUGCUUAACACAUGCAAGUCGAACGGUAAGGCCCUUCGGGGUACACGAGUGGCGAACGGGUGAGUAACACGUGGGUGAUCUGCCCUGCACUUUGGGAUAAGCCUGGGAAACUGGGUCUAAUACCGAAUAGGACUCCGGACUGCAUGGUCUGGGGUGGAAAGCUUUUGCGGUGUGGGAUGGGCCCGCGGCCUAUCAGCUUGUUGGUGGGGUGAUGGCCUACCAAGGCGACGACGGGUAGCCGGCCUGAGAGGGUGUCCGGCCACACUGGGACUGAGAUACGGCCCAGACUCCUACGGGAGGCAGCAGUGGGGAAUAUUGCACAAUGGGCGCAAGCCUGAUGCAGCGACGCCGCGUGGGGGAUGACGGCCUUCGGGUUGUAAACCUCUUUCAGUAGGGACGAAGCGCAAGUGACGGUACCUACAGAAGAAGCACCGGCCAACUACGUGCCAGCCGCCGCCGUAACAC